GGAGCUUAGGAACGGUUGCUAGGGCACACCCCCUUCCCUCUAUGCGAUGGCUGAGAGGCGGUGCAUGCAGAUGGGGACUCGGCUCGCCCCCCAUCUCACCCCCCCAAGUGGAGAUUGGUCGUCUUGUCGGAUUGCCCAGGCACUUGUUGCCGAAACAGCCAAGGCUCCAGCUCCAGAGGUCAGUGAAGGAGGAAGACACGGGAGCAAGACUACCCUGAAGGGCUCACCAGCGGUCUCAACCCUGAAACAGACCCGGGUCUCUUCUUCCCACCUGCCGAGCAGCAUGUGAGCAGCAUGACUGGCCAGCUGCAGGAGAAGCCCCCAGAGCCAGGACCGCGACACAGCCACCCGCUGCCAAGGUCAAGGUGUGAAGGACUUUCCCCCACCACGGUGGUGUCUGGUCCGUACCUCCGCCCGGGUGAGGAUGUAGGCACCUCGGCUCUGCUGAUGACCUGUUCAAGCCAACAGGGACCCCUGUCUCCAGCCACCCUCACAGACAUGUCAGCCGUGGAGUAGGGUGGACGCUUUCUCUCAUCUUCUCAGGGUUUCAGGAUUUUUCUUCUUUCUUUUUUUCUUUUUUUUUUUCUUGGUUUUUGGUUUUUGUUUUGUGGCUGAACACUCAUAAGCAAAGAGGACAUCAUGGGGGACCAGCAACUGUACAAGACCAAUCACGUGGGCCACGGUGGUGAGAACCUCUUCUAUCAACAGCCACCCCUUGGUGUCCACAGUGGGCUGGGCCACAGCUAUGGGAAUACAAUCUCUGGGGCUGGGAUGGACGCCCCGCAGGCCUCACCCAUCUCGCCUCACUUCCCUCAAGAUACUCGGGAUGGUCUCGGCUUGCCUAUUGGCUCCAAAAACCUUGGCCAGAUGGAUACCUCCAGGCAGGGAGGAUGGGGAAGCCAUGCAGGGCCUGGGAACCACGUCCAGCUUCGUAGCAACUUGGCCAACUCAAACAUGAUGUGGGGGACGCCCACCCAGGUGGAGCCCGCUGAUGGCUACCAAUACACUUAUUCCCAGGCCAGCGAGAUCCGGACCCAGAAACUCACCAGUGGUGUUUUGCACAAGCUGGACUCUUUCACCCAGGUAUUUGCCAACCAAAACCUGCGGAUUCAGGUCAACAAUAUGGCCCAGGUGCUGCACACCCAAUCAGCGGUGAUGGAUGGAGCCUCCGACAGUGCCCUCCGUCAACUGCUGUCUCAGAAGCCCGUGGAGCCCUCAGCAUCAGCUAUAGCUUCCCGCUACCAGCAGGUGCCCCAGCAGCCUCACCCUGGCUUCACGGGUGGACUGCCCAAACCAGCCCUUCCAGUCGGGCAGCACGCUCCCCAAGGGCACCUGUAUUAUGACUACCAGCAGCCCCUGGCCCAGAUGUCCAUGCAAGGAGGACAGCCACUGCAAGCCCCUCAGGUGCUGUCCGGCCAUAUGCAACAAUUGCAGCAGCACCAGUAUUACCCACAGCCGCCGCCUCAGCAGCAGCAAGCCGGACUGCAGCGGAUCUCUGUGCAGGAGAUGCAGCAGCAGCAGCAGCCGCAGCAAAUUCGCCCCUCACCACCUCAGCAGCAGCAGCAGCUCCAGCUGCAGCAGCGGCAGAGUUCACUGCAGAUACCUCAGUAUUAUCAGCCCCAACCCAUGAUGCAACACUUGCAAGAGCAGCAGCAGCCAUCCAUGCACCUGCAGCCACCCUCAUACCACAGGGACCCUCAUCAGUAUACCCCGGAGCAGGCACACGCUGUCCAGCUGAUCCAGCUGGGCUCUAUGCCCCAGUAUUACUAUCAGGAGCCUCAACAGGCCUAUAGCCACCCCCUCUACCCGCAGAGCCACCUGUCCCAGCACCAGCAGCGUGAAGACGGUCAGCUGAAGACAUAUUCUAGUGACAGACAGACCCCGGCUAUGCUGAGCUCCCAUGGGGACAUGGGAACUUCUGAUACAGGAAUGGCAGAUCCAGCCAGCUCAGAAAUGACUCGGGUCACUAGUACUCUUCCUCACCAACCGCUCCUGUCCCCCAGUGGGAUCCACCUCAACAACAUGGGGUCUCAGCAUCAACAGCCGCCAUCUCCCAGUGCGAUGUGGCCCCAGAUGCACUUACCUGAUGGGAGAGCCCAGUCCGGAUCCCCGGAAUCAAGCAGCGGCCAAACCAAAGGAGUGUUUGGGGAACAGUUUGAUGCCAAGAACAAGCUGACAUGCUCCAUCUGCCUGAAGGAGUUCAAAAGCCUGCCCGCCCUGAACGGCCACAUGCGGUCCCACGGGGGGAUGAGGGCGUCCCCCAGCCUCAAACAGGAGGAAGGAGAGAAGGCCCCACCGCCUCAGCCUCAGCCCCAGCCUCAGCCCCAGCCGCCACUGCCACCUCCGCCUCCUCCGCCGCCGCCACCGCAGCUCCCUCCUGAGGCAGAGCGCCUCACGCCUAUGGUCAUGCCCGUGUCUGUCCCUGUCAAGCUAAUCCCACCCAAGCCCAGCUCUCAGGGGUUCACCAACAGCGUCGCUGCCACCCCCGCGGCCAGAGACAAGCCAGCCAGCUCGAUGUCGGACGACGAGAUGCCUGUGCUCGUGAGGAUGACCCUCUCCCCCCCUCACUCUCCCCAAGGGGCUGCCCCCCGUGCGCCUGCUGAAAUCCCCCGGAAACAUCCACCUAUCGCCGCCAAAGUUGAGGAGCCCCUCAAGAACCUACCAGAGAAGAAGAAAUUCCGGCACCGGCCUGAGCCCCUCUUCAUCCCACCACCGCCUUCGUCCUAUACUCCCAACCCCACCUCUUACUCGGGGGCCACCCUGUACCAGAGCCAGCUGCGCUCCCCGCGAAUCCUCGGGGACCACCUGCUCCUGGACCCCGCCCACGAACUGCCCCCCUACACGCCGCCACCCAUGCUGAGCCCUGUGCGCCAGGGCUCAGGGCUCUUCAGCAAUGUCCUCAUCUCUGGCCACGGCCCUGGAGUGCACCCCCAGCUGCCCCUCACUCCCCUCACGCCCACGCCACGUGUGCUGCUGUGCCGUUCCAGCAGCAUCGAUGGCAGCAAUGUGACAGUCACCCCAGGACCUGGAGAGCAGACUGUGGAUGUUGAACCACGCAUCAACAUUGGCUUAAGGUUCCAAGCAGAGAUCCCAGAACUGCAAGACGUCUCCGCCCUGGCUCAGGACACACACAGGGCCACACUGGUAUGGAAGCCGUGGCCUGAGCUGGAAAACCAGGCCCUCCAGCAGCAAGUGGAGAAUCUUCUGAAUUUGUGUUGUUCCAGUGCGCUGCCAGGUGGAGGAACCAAUUCGGAAUUUGCUUUGCACUCUCUCUUUGAGGCCAAAGGUGACGUGAUGGCUACCCUGGAAAUGCUGCUGCUGCGGAAGCCAGUCAGGUUAAAAUGUCAUCCUUUAGCAAAUUACCACUACGCCGGUUCUGACAAGUGGACAUCCCUAGAAAGAAAACUGUUUAAUAAAGCAUUGGCCACUUACAGCAAAGACUUUAUUUUUGUACAGAAGAUGGUGAAGUCCAAGACAGUGGCUCAGUGCGUGGAGUACUACUACACUUGGAAGAAGAUAAUGCGACUAGGCCGGAAACACCGGACACGCCUGGCGGAAAUCAUUGACGACUGCAUGACCAGCGAAGAGGAAGAGGAGGCCGAGGAGGAAGAAGAGGACCCAGAAGAAGAUAGGAAAUCCAUAAAAGAAGAGGAGAGUGAAGUGGCCAAGUCUCCAGAGCCACCGCCUGCCCCUGCCCUGGCUCCCACUGAGGGGCCACCCAUGCAGGCUGUUGGCCAACAACCAUCAGGCAACUUCAUUUGUGAAAUGCCCAACUGUGGGGCUGUGUUCAGCUCCCGACAGGCACUGAACGGUCACGCCCGCAUCCACGGCGGCACCAACCAGGUGGCUAAGACCCGAGGUGCCAUCCCCUCUGGGAAGCAGAAGCCAGGUGGCACCCAGAGUGGGUACUGCUCAGUGAAGAGUUCACCAUCUCACAGUACCACCAGUGGAGAGACGGACCCCACCACCAUCUUCCCCUGCAAGGAGUGUGGCAAGGUCUUCUUUAAGAUCAAAAGCCGGAAUGCGCACAUGAAAACCCACCGGCAGCAAGAGGAGCAGCAGAGGCAGAAGGCUCAGAAGGCAGCCUUCGCAGCAGAAAUGGCAGCCACCAUCGAGAGGACUACGGGGCCGGUGGGGGCGCCCGAGCUGCUGCCCCUGGACCAACUGAGUCUGAUGAAGCCAGUCAAGGACGUGGACAUCCUGGAUGACGAUGUGGUCCAGCAGUUAGGCGUCAUGGACGAGGCCGAGGUGGUAGGCACGGAUCUUCUCUUGGACGACCAAGAUUCGGUUUUGCUUCAGGGUGAUACAGAACUCUAAACCCUCCCGUUCAUCACCUAGAGACACAGAAGCCACGGCCUCCACCUCUGUCACCCGUAGAACCUGGACUUCCUGCUCCUUUGGAAACCCUUUUAAACUACCUGUUUAAAAAGCGGUCCUUUUCUUCAGGUUAAGGGAGGGGAAAAAUCCAGUUCUUUCUCUUUUACCUUCUUUUACAUUGUUUUUGUUGGGGGUUGGGGGGAAUAAAAAAAAUUGGCACAACUAUC
ensembl:processed_transcript Trerf1 transcriptional regulating factor 1